rnacentral:lncRNA from 1 species
UAGCUAGGAGAGUCCUAAUUGAGAGGGGCAUUCAUGUACGAGGUUUUUUCUUAGAGAAGAAUUAGGAGUUGUAAGGGAAUAUGAGUCUUGAGUAGGAGUCCUAUUAGGAGUUGGUUAGAAGUAAGAGUAUUAAGUAGGAGUCCUAUUAGGAGUUAGGGUUUAGAAGCCCUAUAAAUAGCCAUGUAUUCCUUCUCUUUUC